UACGUAGGGAGCAAGCGUUGUCCGGAAUCAUUGGGCGUAAAGCGCGCGUAGGUGGCCCCAUAAGUCCGCUGUGAAAGUCAAAGGCUCAACCUUUGAAAGCCGGUGGAUACUGUGGGACUAGAGUACGGAAGAGGCGAGUGGAAUUCCUGGUGUAGCGGUGGAAUGCGCAGAUAUCAGGAGGAACACCAGCGGCGAAGGCGGCGCUCUGGGCCGGAACUGACGCUGAGGAGCGAAAGCGUGGGGAGCAAACAGG
rnacentral:rRNA from 1 species